AGAGUUUGAUCCUGGCUCAGGAUGAACGCUGGCGGCGUGCUUAACACAUGCAAGUCGAACGGAGUUAGAUUGGUGCUUGCACCGAGAAACUUAGUGGCGGACGGGUGAGUAACGCGUGGGCAACCUGCCUCAUACAGGGGAAUAACAGUUGGAAACAGCUGCUAAAACCGCAUAAGCGCACACUGUUGCAUGACAGAGUGUGAAAAACUCCGGUGGUAUGAGAUGGACCCGCGUCUGAUUAGCUAGUUGGUGAGGUAAAGGCCCACCAAGGCGACGAUCAGUAGCCGGCCUGAGAGGGUGAACGGCCACAUUGGGACUGAGACACGGCCCAAACUCCUACGGGAGGCAGCAGUGGGGAAUAUUGCACAAUGGGGGAAACCCUGAUGCAGCGACGCCGCGUGAGUGAAGAAGUACUUCGGUAUGUAAAGCUCUAUCAGCAGGGAAGAAAAAAGACGGUACCUGAAUAAGAAGCACCGGCUAAAUACGUGCCAGCAGCCGCGGUAAUACGUAUGGUGCAAGCGUUAUCCGGAUUACUGGGUGUAAAGGGUGCGUAGGUGGUACAACAAGUCAGAAGUGAAAAUCCCGGGGCUCAACCCCCGGGAAGUGGCUUUUUGAAACUGGCCGGACUAGAGUGCAGGAAGAGGGAAGCGGAAUUUCCUAGUGUAGCGGUGAAAUGCGUAGAUUUUAGGGAGGAAACACCAGUGGCGAAGGGGGCUUUCUGGGAUUGAAACUUGACACUGAGGCACGAAAAGCGUGGGGAGCAGACAGGUUAGAUACCCCUGGUAGCCCACGUCGUUAAA
rnacentral:rRNA from 1 species